AUGAACGCUGGCGGCGUGCUUAACACAUGCAAGUCGAACGAACCUUCGGGUUAGUGGCGGACGGGUGAGUAACGCGUGAGAAUCUGCCCUCAGGAGGGGGAUAACGGCUGGAAACGGCCGCUAAUACCCCAUAUGCCGAGAGGUGAAACGAGUUUUCGCCUGAGGAUGAGCUCGCGUCUGAUUAGCUAGUUGGUGAGGUAAGGGCUCACCAAGGCAUCGAUCAGUAGCUGGUCUGAGAGGAUGAUCAGCCACACUGGGACUGAGACACGGCCCAGACUCCUACGGGAGGCAGCAGUGGGGAAUUUUCCGCAAUGGGCGAAAGCCUGACGGAGCAACGCCGCGUGAGGGAUGAAGGCCUCUGGGCUGUAAACCUCUUUUCUCAAGGAAGAAGAUCUGACGGUACUUGAGGAAUAAGCCACGGCUAAUUCCGUGCCAGCAGCCGCGGUAAUACGGGAGUGGCAAGCGUUAUCCGGAAUUAUUGGGCGUAAAGCGUCCGCAGGCGGCCUUUUAAGUCUGUUGUCAAAGCGUGGAGCUUAACUCCAUUUCGGCAAUGGAAACUGGGAGGCUUGAGUGUGGUAGGGGCAGAGGGAAUUCCCGGUGUAGCGGUGAAAUGCGUAGAUAUCGGGAAGAACACCAGUGGCGAAGGCGCUCUGCUGGGCCCAUAACUGACGCUCAUGGACGAAAGCCAGGGGAGCGAAAGGGAUUAGAUACCCCUGUAGUCCUGGGCCGUAAACGAUGAACACUAGGUGUCGGGGGAAUCGACCCCCUCGGUGUCGUAGCCAACGCGUUAAGUGUUCCGCCUGGGGAGUACGCACGCAAGUGUGAAACUCAAAGGAAUUGACGGGGGCCCGCACAAGCGGUGGAGUAUGUGGUUUAAUUCGAUGCAACGCGAAGAACCUUACCAGGGUUUGACAUCCUGCGAAUCCCUUGGAAACGAGGGAGUGCCUUCGGGAGCGCAGAGACAGGUGGUGCAUGGCUGUCGUCAGCUCGUGUCGUGAGAUGUUGGGUUAAGUCCCGCAACGAGCGCAACCCACGUCUUUAGUUGCCAGCAUUCAGUUGGGCACUCUAGAGAGACCGCCGGUGAUAAACCGGAGGAAGGUGUGGAUGACGUCAAGUCAUCAUGCCCCUUACAUCCUGGGCUACACACGUACUACAAUGCUACGGACAAAGGGCAGCAAACUCGCGAGAGCUAGCAAAUCCCAUAAACCGUGGCUCAGUUCAGAUCGUAGGCUGCAACUCGCCUACGUGAAGGAGGAAUCGCUAGUAAUCGCAGGUCAGCAUACUGCGGUGAAUACGUUCCCGGGCCUUGUACACACCGCCCGUCACACCAUGGAAGUUGGCCACGCCCGAAGCCGUUACUCCAACCCUUGUGGAGGAGGACGUCGAAGGUGGGGCUGAUGACUGGGGUGA
rnacentral:rRNA from 1 species